AAAUACGGCAAUUACAGUUGAGGUCCGUUUACCUCGUCGUUCGUUAUUGUUUCCCCUUCUUCGCGAGUCGAAUUUAUAUCAAUUGAUAGAUUAUAGGAGCAUAUUCGGUAUAAGAGUUCGCGUGUCGUCGAUGCGAAUGUGUUGAAAUUACGUGUACGCGAUAGACAUUUAUACGCCAUCGAAUUGUAGCUCCGUGCGUGAACUGCGAGAGGUUAUCACCGCCAUUAUCUCAAAUUACUCCGUAUCUUUCGCAGGAUUUCCUCUGGCAUAAGAUCGUGCUCCGUAUAUAAGAUGUAAAUCAUGAAUGAACAUUGACGGAAUUGCAGAAUCCCUCCUGGAGUAAAAUCAUUCUGGGCAGUGUGAAUCAUGAAUUAUCAACGUUGGCGAAAUUGGGUCGACCGUUUUUUUGCGGCCAACGUUCCAAAUAUGGAUAUGCAAAAGACGAGAGAAAACGCGCUCUCCCGAUCGUUAUGCCGAGAACCGGGAGAAGAUAAACUCACCGUCCUACGAUCUCUCAUUUACCCGGUAAAAAAAAUCCGCGAAAGAGCGGAUGCAACGCUAGAAGCAGUAUCGCGUUUUACGGGCGCGUAAUGCAGCCGAUGGCCCGUCCUCAGCGCACAUCCGAGUCGUCGGGAAGUUAUUACAACAUCGUAAUGUACAGAAAAGUACGUACGUUGGACACAGGUAUAACUUUAUAUUCCAAGAAAAUGCUACGGCGUCUCCUUUACGUUGGCUUGCUGCGCGGGUAAUUAAUUCAUAUAGAAGUUCGACCUUCUGUAGACCGGCUAAGGUG